CGUGAGUAACCUGCCUUGGAGAGGGGAAUAACACAUCGAAAGAUGUGCUAAUACCGCAUGAAAUGUCUGAAUCGCAUGGUUCUGGACAUCAAAGAUUUAUCGCUCUGAGAUGGACUCGCGUCUGAUUAGCUGGUUGGCGGGGUAACGGCCCACCAAGGCGACGAUCAGUAGCCGGACUGAGAGGGUGGACGGCCACACUGGGACUGAGACACGGCCCAGACUCCUACGGAAGGCAGCAG
rnacentral:rRNA from 1 species